GUCUCAGUAGUGCAGUGGAUCAGUAUGUCUGGCUAUUAACUAAAAGGUUGGUGGUUUGAGCCCACCCAGGGACU